rnacentral:rRNA from 1 species
CACGUAGAUGGCUUUGUAAGUCGGAUGUGAAAUCCCCGGGCUCAACCUGGGAACUGCAUUCGAAACUGCAUUGCUCGAAUGUGGAAGAGGGAAGUCGGAAUUCCAGGUGUAGCGGUGAAAUGCGUAGAUAUCUGGAGGAACAUCAGUGGCGAAGGCGGCUUCCUGGUCCAACAUUGACAUUCAGGUGCGAAAGCGUGGGAGCAAACAGGAUUAGAUACCCUGGUAGUCCACGCCAUAAACGAUGAGAACUAGAUGUCGGGAGGGUUAGCCUUCCGGUGUCGCAGCUAACGCGUUAAGUCUCCGCCUGGGGAGUACGGCCGCAAGGUUGAA